AUAUUGCGCAAUGGAGGGAACUCUGACCCAGCGACGCCCCGUGAGCGAUUAAGGUCUUCGGAUCGUAAAGCUCUGUUCUUGGGGAAGAAGGUGUUCGGACUUGACGGUACCUAAGGAUGAAGCCCCGGGUAACCACGUGCCAGCAUCCGCGGUAAUACGUAGGGGGCAAGCGUUGUCCGGAAUGAUUGGGCGUAAAGGGUGCGUAGGCGGCUUUUUAAGUCAGAUGUGAAAGCCCUCGGCUUAACCGUGGGACUGCAUUUGAAACUGGAGGGAUGGAGUAUCGGAGAGGGUGGUGGAAUUCCAAGUGUAGCGGUGGAAUGCGUAGAUAUUGGGAGGAACACCAGUGGCGAAGGCGACUACCUGGACAAAAACUGACGCUGAGGCACGAAAGCGUGGGGAGCAAACA
rnacentral:rRNA from 1 species